ensembl:lncRNA novel transcript
CCUGUAGCCGGGCCGGCUUGGGGCUUGGUUCUAUGUCCCUGCGGGUCGGUGCAAGGGCGAAGAGGAACCCGUGGGCCUCAGGGGAUCCCGGGGGGCCGGACCAGUGUUCCCUAGUUGUGGGAGCAGACGCGUGGGCACAUUGCGGGCGGGCAGGGCCUGAAGUGCAGGUGCGGGCAGUGGACCCUGGCGGGGGCUGGGAGGACAGGCGUGGGGUCCCGGCAGUGAAACGGGUUCUAGAGGCGCAGGAGCAGGUAGGAGAGGCCGGUGGCCCUGGGCCCGGAGUCUGCAGGCCGCGCUCCUGUCCUGCCGCUGAGGGACCCGGUUACCAACCUGCAUGACGCUCAGUUUGCCCAUCUGUCCCAGUGGUAACACACAGUUCUCGGGAGACGUUCCCCAUUCCCAGAGGAGUAGUGUGAAACGCGUGCGCCUCUAGUCUUAAACUUGGCGUUUGUAUUAGUUGGGUUUCCUGGUGUCUCUUUAGCAAGUGAAGUUUCUGGUUCCCUCCUUCACUGUGUGACCUGCCUAGUCCUCCUGGGUCGCAUUUACAGAAGUUUAUACGAGACCUAGUUUCCAGGGAAGAACUCACUGAUUCCGCGAGGGAGAUGGCUUAAUGGAUGAUGGUCGUCAGCCUUAAGGAUACUUCAGUCUUAACUGUGUGUUACAAAGUUUGAAAGGGAGGGUUCCCUAUGAAUAAGAAGCACACUUGAAAGAACAGCCAUCUGGUCUAACCUCUCACUGGUGCUUCAGAGGAGGAAAAAAGGUCACAGGUGAAGAUCCCAGUUUUCCUUGCUCAGGAAAUAUUAAUUCUACUCCCUAGAAUGCACAAGAUUUGCAAAGACUAGGUGAUAGUAGAAGGUUUGGACGAACUUUCAGAAGGUUGAGGUGAAUUCAGCUAAGAAGAACAGGCAAGGACUUAGGAAAUAUUCCUUAUUUGAAGGGGCCUGAAAGUGUGGUCUGGGGUACAGCAGUGACCUGUCAUACUUGAGAGGAUUAAAAUACUCUCCAAACACAGUCCCAUUCCUUCAACCUUAGCUCGUUUUUUCCAGCGUCUGAGAUACAUUAAACCUAGUCCAUCCCCAAAUUUAACAUUAGAUUGCGAAGUUCUAUUGAUUGUAUUUGAUUUGUAAUUUAACAUUUUCUCCCCCUACGUAAUUUUGUUAAAAACACAGAAGUGAAUUCUGUUCACUUAGGUGUAACAGUUAAUACUUGCUGUUUAAGGAACUAAUUAAACCUUACUGGCUUAUAAAAAACAA